GAUGAACGCUGGCGGCGUGCCUAAUACAUGCAAGUCGAGCGAAGGGGGGACGGGGGAGUAAGAGGGAGAAAACCUCCUAUAAGACUGGGACAAAGUCGGGUAACCGGAGCUAAAGCGGAUAUUCAUAGGUGGCUCCGCGAUGCAUUAGCGAGUUAGUAAGGUGACGGCUUACCAAGGCAACGAUGAAGAGUCGACCUGAGAGGGUGUUCGGCCACACUGGAACUGGGCCACGGCCCAGCAGCCAACGGGAGGCAGCAGUAGGGCAUCUGCCGCAAUGGGCGAAAGCCUGACGGGGCAACGCCGCGUGAGUGAUGAAGGUCUGCGGAUCGUAAAACUAUGUUCUUAGGGUAGCGGUACCUAAUCAGAAGGCCACGGCUAACUACGUGCCAGCAGCCGCGGUAAUAC
rnacentral:rRNA from 1 species